rnacentral:rRNA from 1 species
GACGAACGCUGGCGGCGUGCCUAAUACAUGCAAGUAGAACGCUGAAGGAGGAGCUUGCUUCUCUGGAUGAGUUGCGAACGGGUGAGUAACGCGUAGGUAACCUGCCUGGUAGCGGGGGAUAACUAUUGGAAACGAUAGCUAAUACCGCAUAAGAGUAGAUGUUGCAUGACAUUUACUUAAAAGGUGCAAUUGCAUCACUACCAGAUGGACCUGCGUUGUAUUAGCUAGUUGGUGAGGUAACGGCUCACCAAGGCAACGAUACAUAGCCGACCUGAGAGGGUGAUCGGCCACACUGGGACUGGGACACGGCCCAGACUCCUACGGGAGGCAGCAGUAGGGAAUCUUCGGCAAUGGACGGAAGUCUGACCGAGCAACGCCGCGUGAGUGAAGAAGGUUGUCGGAUCGUAAAGCUCUGUUGUAAGAGAAGAACGAGUGUGAGAGUGGAAAGUUCACACUGUGACGGUAGCUUACCAGAAAGGGACGGCUAACUACGUG